GUGGGGAAUAUUGCACAAUGGGCGAAAGCCUGAUGCAGCAACGCCGCGUGAGGGACGACGGCCUUCGGGUUGUAAACCUCUUUUAGUAGGGAAGAAGCGAAAGUGACGGUACCUGCAGAAAAAGCACCGGCUAACUACGUGCCAGCAGCCGCGGUAAUACGUAGGGUGCAAGCGUUAUCCGGAAUUAUUGGGCGUAAAGAGCUCGUAGGCGGUCUGUCGCGUCUGCUGUGAAAACUGGAGGCUCAACCUCCAGCCUGCAGUGGGUACGGGCAGACUAGAGUGCGGUAGGGGAGAUUGGAAUUCCUGGUGUAGCGGUGGAAUGCGCAGAUAUCAGGAUGAACACCGAUGGCGAAGGCAGAUCUCUGGGCCGUAACUGACGCUGAGGAGCGAAAGCGUGGGGAGCGAACAGGAUUAGAAACCCCAGUAGUCC
rnacentral:rRNA from 1 species